CCUACGGGAGGCAGCAGUGGGGAAUCUUGCGCAAUGGGCGAAAGCCUGACGCAGCGACGCCGCGUGAGUGAUGAAGGCCCUCGGGUUGUAAAGCUCUGUGGGGAGAGACGAAUAAGGGCCGGCUAAUACCCGGCUCGAUGACGGUAUCUCCUUAGCAAGCACCGGCUAACUCUGUGCCAGCAGCCGCGGUAA
rnacentral:rRNA from 1 species